UACAGAGGUCCCGAGCGUUGUUCGGAUUCACUGGGGCGUAAAGGGUGCGUAGGUGGUGGGGUAAGUCGGGAUGUGAAAUCUCGGAGCUCGAACGUCCGAAAUGGCAUUGGAAACUACCCUUGCGUGGAGGUUUGGAGGGGGACUGGAAUACUUGGUGUAGCAGUAGAAAUGCGUAGAUAGUCAAGUGGAACACCAGUGGCGAAGGCGAGUCCCUGGACAAACCUGACACUGAGGCACGAAAGCUAGGGAGCAAACAGG
rnacentral:rRNA from 1 species